rnacentral:rRNA from 1 species
UGGGGAAUUGUUCGCAAUGGGCGCAAGCCUGACGACGCAACGCCGCGUGGGGGAUGAAGGUCUUCGGAUUGUAACCCCUGUUGGGUGGGACGAACACUUUCGUGGUGAAUAGCCAUGGAGGCUGACGGUACCACCUGAGGACGCCCCGGCUAACUCUGUGCCAGCAGCCGCGGUAAUACAGAGGGGGCAAGCGUUGUUCGGAAUUACUGGGCGUAAAGGGCGUGCAGGCGGUUUGUUAAGUCUAGGGUGAAAGCUCCCGGCUCAACUGGGAGAGGUCCUUGGAUACUGGCGAACUUGAGGGAUGCAGAGGAAAGUGGAAUUCCCGGUGUAGUGGUGAUAUGCGUAGAUAUCGGGAGGAACACCAGUGGCGAAGGCGGCUUUCUGGGCAUUUCCUGACGCUGAGACGCGAAAGCGUGGGGAGCGAA